AGAGUUUGAUCAUGGCUCAGAACGUACGCUGGCGGCACGCCUAACACAUGCAAGUCGAACGAAGUAGCAAUACUUAGUGGCAGACGGGUGAGUAACAUGUAGGUAUCUACCCUUUGGCCUGGAAUAACACGAGGAAACUUGUGCUAAUACUGGAUAAGUCUUUACGGAGAAAGCUUUAUGCACCAUUGGAUGAGCCCGCACUUGAUUAGUUUGUUGGUGGGGUAAUGGCCUACCAAGACUUUGAUCAAUAGCUGAUUUGAGAGGAUGAUCAGCCACAUUGGGACUGAGACACGGCCCAAACUCCUACGGGAGGCAGCAGUGGGGAAUCUUGCACAAUGGAGGAAACUCUGAUGCAGCGAUGCCGCGUGAGUGAAGAAGGCCCUUGGGUUGUAAGGCUCUUUCGUCGGGGAAGAAAAUGACUGUACCCGAAUAAGAAGGUCCGGCUAACUUCGUGCCAGCAGCCGCGGUAAUACGAAGGGACCUAGCGUAGUUCGGAAUUACUGGGCUUAAAGAGUUCGUAGGUGGUUGAAAAAGUUGGUGGUGAAAUCCCAGAGCUUAACUCUGGAACUGCCAUCAAAACUUUUCAGCUAGAGUUUGAUAGAGGAAAGCAGAAUUUCUAGUGUAGAGGUGAAAUUCGUAGAUAUUAGAAAGAAUACCAAUUGCGAAGGCAGCUUUCUGGAUCAUUACUGACACUGAGGAACGAAAGCAUGGGUAGCGAAGAGGAUUAGAUACCCUCGUAGUCCAUGCCGUAAACGAUGUGUGUUAGACGUUGGAAAUUUAUUUUCAGUGUCGCAGCGAAAGCGAUAAACACACCGCCUGGGGAGUACGACCGCAAGGUUAAAACUCAAAUGAAUUGACGGGGACCCGCACAAGUAGUGGAGCAUGUGGUUUAAUUCGAAGAUACGCGCAGAACCUUACCAACACUUGACAUGUUCGUCGCGACUUUAAGAGAUUAAAGUUUUCGGUUCGGCCGGACGAAACACAGGUGCUGCAUGGCUGUCGUCAGCUCGUGUCGUGAGAUGUUGGGUUAAGUCCCGCAACGAGCGCAACCCUCACUUUUAGUUGCCAUCAUUUAGUUGGGCACUCUGAAAGAACUGCCAGUGAUAAGCUGGAGGAAGGUGGGGAUGACGUCAAGUCCUCAUGGCCCUUACGUGUUGGGCUACACACGUGCUACAAUGGUAUCUACAACAGGAAGCGAAACAGCGAUGUUAAGCAAAUCCUUAAAAGAUACCUCAGUUCGGAUUGCACUCUGCAACUCGAGUGCAUGAAGCUGGAAUUACUAGUAAUCGUGGAUCAGCGUGCCACGGUGAAUACGUUCCCG
rnacentral:rRNA from 1 species